AUAGCUGACUAUAUAAAUCCUGAAACCAAAUUUCAGAAAUCCUUGUAUUGUAGUUGCUGAGAAAAAUGUGACGAAAAUUUUCAACUUGGCUAUCAUGUGUAAAAUCAUACAAGUGUUCGGUAAACAGGAAGUUGUCAAGUGAUGAGUCUGAAAACGCAUCACACGGUAUGGCUAACAUAUAUAAAUGUUGAUACCAAAUUACAGAAAGAGUGGAUGUGUAGUUCCUGAGAAAAAUGUGACGAAAAUUUUCAACUUGGCUAUUAUGUGUAAAAUCAUACAAGUGUUCGGUAAACAGGAAGUUGUCAAGUGAUGAAUCUGAAAACGCAUCACACGGUAUGGCUAACAUAUAUAAAUGUUGAUACCA
rnacentral:lncRNA from 1 species